AGAGCGAACGCUGGCGGCAGGCCUAACACAUGCAAGUCGAGCGCCCGUAGCAAUACGGGAGCGGCAGACGGGAUAGUAACACGUGGGAACGCGCCCUUCGGUUCGGAAUAACUCAGGGAAACUUGAGCUAAUACCGGAUACGCCCUUACGGGGAAAGAUUUAUUGCCGAAGGAACGGCCCGCGUCCGAUUAGCUAGUUGGUGAGGUAAUGGCUCACCAAGGCGACGAUCGGUAGCUGGUCUGAGAGGAUGACCAGCAUCACUGGGACUGAGACACGGCCCAGACUCCUACGGGAGGCAGCAGUGGGGAAUAUUGGACAAUGGGCGCAAGCCUGAUCCAGCCAUGCCGCGUGGAUGAUGAAGGCCUUAGGGUUGUAAAGUCCUUUUAACGGGGAAGAUAAUGACGGUACCCGUAGAAUAAGCCCGGCUAACUUCGUGUCAGCAGCCGC
rnacentral:rRNA from 1 species